CCCCCCUGUUUUAGUUACAAAGUGCCGUAACUCAAAAAGUUUUAAUCUUAUUUUGACCGAAAAGUAUACAGAUCAUUUGACUAUCAUAAGAAACAACUACAAUAAGUUUCGUGAAAUUUGGAUAAGUCGUUCUCAAGUUACGGCGCGACAUGUUUACGCCGGACAGACGGACGACAGACGGACGGACACCGGACAUUUGUAUAACAUAAUACGUCCCGUCAAAAUUU
rnacentral:lncRNA from 1 species